GGUAAGUUUUGCUUUUUGUUUUUGACUCGAUAUAGACUGAAGGGGUGAGAAUAUUUUAAACAGAAAUGAAUAAUUUAUCUCAGAAACUAUUAAAGUUGUGUUGUAAAGCUCACAGCGAGCUCCGUGACCAGCAGCUGCAGCAUCUCAACGAGGAGAUUAUUUCAUUUAACUUGAGGGAGAGGUGUGCCAGGGAGGUGGCUGAGGUAUUCAUAAAGCAUCGCGUGUCUUCUGGGCUCUCUCCUCUUUGGAGAGAGGGCACAGCAACUUUGCCCUUCGUGGACAGAGAUCUAUGCAGUGUGUUUGAGCAAGUAGAGUGACAGACCCUGGCUGUCCCUGCAAUUGAGAGUCUGGACCUUAUUUCAGGUGAGAGACAGUGUCCUCAAGAGAUAGGGCUUCUGUUGAAGCAGGUCGUGCUGCAUGUCCUAACCCGUGCUCUACACGACAGGGGCUCUCUGGGACAUUGAGUUGGUGUGAUGCAGAUGAGGUUGGUGGUCAGAUGUCCUUGGGAAACCAAGUUGAGCGAGUCUCUUUUCUGAGUGGAGAAGGCGUGUAGUGCAUGGUGAACCCCAAGGCCAUCUGGGAGUCGGGGCAUUUCCUGCACUUGGCAUGACCAGGAGGCUCUAUUUUGCAUGUUAACUCCCAGAGCUGAUGUCCCGCAGAGGGUGCUUCGGUUAGGGUGAGGCAGCCCCUCCAGGGUCUGCAAGGAUCAACCCCCUUGGAUCCUUGUUUUUGCUUUUGCCCCCCCUCCAAAAACAAACAAGCAAAACCAAAAUGGCGCCAGUCUCCAUCUGGUUUCCAGCCUCAGAGGAUUAAAUGUUGACUUCAGUGCAAGGCGUCUAAUCCUGGACACCCCCACGGACAGCUAGCACCACCCCCAGAGUGGAGGGAAGUCUUGGGUGGUGUGGACGGAAGGGCAGGAGUGGGGCAGAGUGCAUAAGGCCACUGAGGGCCCCGCUGCCCUGCCUCCAGUCUCUCCAUGGGAACAGACGACCCUGGCGGAGGCUUCUGCAAGUCCACAGCCUGCAACUGUUCACUGUGUGCUUUUUUCCCUGGUUUUCAUGGAAAUCCACACUGGUUUCCGUGUUGGCACCCUCUGUCUCCUUCCUGUGCGAGCUUGCCCAGUGCCGUGUGCAGAUGGCCUUUCAUUGGCUUUUGUCUCUUAAGUGAGAUAGAUUGUCCUUCAGGGGACGAGGCGUCAUGUCUGAAAUGAGAAAUUCUUUCUCUGCGUUCUGUUUUGUGUUCACGUUUUGUUUUCUAAUGACAUCAAAUUUUUUUUAACAAAAAUUGAUGCAACCAUUUUGCAGAAUGUAGAACGUAUUCUGUGUCCUUGGCUAAAGAAAUCCAUGGGUGAAGUGCACCUGGGAAACAAAAGUCAGUGUUUCCUAAAGACAAAAAAAAAUGUUUUAAGAUGCUUCCUAUUGCAUGCAUAGCUGGAGAAAAGUGCGGGCCGGUGUCCCCAGCUCCAGGCCACUCUUCAAAGGGGCUGCUGUGCUUUAAGACCAAGGUGUCAUCAAGGCUGUAUUUACGAGGACCUUCCUGCUUACCUGUCCCUUUGCUUGGAGAACUUGAGAUUUUGUCCGCCGUGGGUUUGGUGCCUGCAGCCUCUCCAGACCCCCCACUGCCCUCCCCAGCUGGUCUGGGAAGAAGGGCAGCCCAACAACUGGACUGUCUUAGAGGAGACCGCCCCCUCCCUGCCCAGUGGGUGAGCCUCGCCUCCCCUCCUGCUGGUUCAGGGCAAUGGGAACUUUAGCAGAACCAGGCCUCCCAGAAACAGGCGAGCAAGCACGUGGUAUAAUCCACGCUAUAGAAAACUCGAGAAAAAGAGUGUAAGGCCCUAGCACACUUAGAGUGCAAGGGACCACGAUUAUAAAAGUCCCUCUUCUAACCUGGCAAAAAGCAGAGGGUCUCGGCUAACUUUCUUAGACAGUUCUUCCCUGCGUGUGUGCAUGAGCGCACACAUACACACACACACACACACACACACGCUGAGCUGAGCUGUCCUGCCCUGCCCUGUGCAAUCCUGGUGACCAGGUCCCAUCCUCCCCCACCUUUAUGUCAGCAGGACUGACCACACUGCUUCCCUGAACCCCACCACCAGAGACCCCCCAGCCUUUCCCAGCACAACCAACAGGACCAGCUUGACCCUUGGCUGUGAACAGGCGGAUUUCAGUCUCUAUUCUUUGUUAGGUACAGAAGGAGCUGCCUGUAUUUUUUUAUGAGCAUGCUCAGUGUGGCAUAUGGACACAUAAUUUAACAUCUUGGUGGGGUGUGAUUUUUUCCUUUUACAUACCUGUAUGCAGUAGAGGGCCUGUUGUAGAAAACGCUCCCUGUGUCUUCCUGUACUGUUAAAGAAAGCUGAAUUCCACAUUGCCAACAAAAGCGUGAAAUGUUCAUGAACCUUCCUCCAGGAAAAGCCAUUCAAGCCUGAUUAUUUUUCUAAGUAACUUCAAUUAAAUUGGAGAAAGAAAGAAAAAAGUCUUUCUGUGUAUGGUUUG
rnacentral:lncRNA from 1 species